ensembl:lncRNA
AGUUAGAGUCACAAGACUGGAUCUUUAGCCUCAAAGGAGCUGCAACCUAUUCUGUUUUCACCCUCUGUUUGUACSCUCUGUUUAAAAACAUAUGGUUGAUCAGUUUCAUUUUUACGUGGAGUGCAGUGCUCAGAUGUCUCUACAGUUUCAUACUURCCCUCUUCUGCCAGAGCUAACUGAAAAACACCAAAACCAUGAGGUACACAGGAACAAACUCCUCUGGGCUCUGCCCAUCUUUAUUGCCUCUCAGCUCUGAUCCCAGCACUCCUUACACUCCUGCAGCUGUACCCUGGAUCUCUCACCUGGAGAUGCUGUCAGCUGUCUCUUAAGUUCUUGCUUUGGUUUGUUUUACUUAGAGCCAAAGGAUUUGAGACAAUCAGGCAUCAGUGUCAGAGCUGCAACUGGUCACCAUUAUGGAACAAACCUCCAUCAUCCAGUUCCCACUGGCUAAUGCAUCCGAAAGGCUCCUGUAGCCCUUCCUCCUGUAUCAGUACCUGGAACUGUUUAAAAUCUCAUUGMAGAUCUCCAGCAUGGAGCUCUCUAAACUUUACCUGUCCCUGUUACCACCACCUGAUCCUUCUAGUCUGCAGCUUGCAUCUGAGAGAAGAGCAAGAAUCAACAAAACAGGGCUGCAGCUCUUUGCACAGCCGGAACUUCCAGAGAGCAAGCUCUAGGGGCAGGAAGCACAGCAUGGAAAACACUUCCGCUGGACCAGGCGUCCCUGCCCUCCCCUUGAAUGCUGGUAUAAAUAGCAGUGGUGACUCAUCUGGGGAACUGCACUGACAGCCGUGCUGGCUCUGCUCAUCCUGCCUUGUGUCUCCUGACCUUGUGUUCUUGUGACUGAUGCAYGUUUUCUGUGCAAGUCCCACACAGUGGCUGCGAGCACCCCAGGGAGGAUUUCUGAAUGGACAUUGCCRAAGGGCUGUGGCCUGGGAGAAAGUCAAAGUGACCAAGGAGCAAGAGGAAAACUUCACUGCUAAAAUACGGUGGGCUGCCAAGAGGCYUUGGGGCACAGCAGGCCCUGGGAUUUUUCCCUGGACCUGAGCAGGGCUGGAACUGAUGGCCUCUAAAUAGCCAUGGAUACAGGGCAUCUCUAGGGCUCAUACAUGGUUUUAAAGAGCAUGAGGCCCAAAGUCUGUUCCUCCUAGAGUUCUGUGGCUCUUAAGAAACACUGUCUUCUCUCUCAAUGCAUCUGAGCCUAAGAACCAAUUCUUCAGAGCCUGUCUCACUAAUCUGGUGCCUGACAUGUCCUGGCAAUGAUCUGAAUGGAGAAAAAACAUCCCAAGCUCUGAACAGCAACAUAGUAAAGAGGAUCRUAUUCCUGUAGUGGGUGAAGAUCCAUCCAGUGUGUCCUGGAACCAAGAUGGGAGUCAUUGGGGGCAAAAUGUUGCCACAUCCACCCCCUCCAGCCACCAGCCUGUUAACACAAGUUCGAUGUGCUGCCUUUACACACAACAUACAGGGUGAUGGGAGCUAUGAGCUGUGGCAGGCCGAGUCCCAGAGCUUCCUGUUCUCAGACUGCCCAGAUCCUGCAGGGAACGGUCUCACUUUCAGUGUGAUGUGUGGGAUGUGCUUGCAGAAAGAGCCCAGAGGGAAGGCCAGCAUUCAACACAGCACGAGUUUCCUGUUUGUUUGAUAGAUGAAGGGCAAGUUGCUGGAACGGCUCUGCAAACACCAGGAAUACAGAGCUCACUGCUCUGCUCUGUGCCCUUCUGCUCCAGGUCACACUCUUGGCACAUGCUAUCUGGGUCCACCCUGCACCUACAGCUUAAAGGAGAGUGCUGCCCAUUUGCUGGUAGAUACUACAGUGCCCUCUCCUCAGACGGCGUGGUGAAUCCUACAGAGGGGUGUUACUGAAGCAGGACAAUUCCAGCAGAUUAUAGACAAUGCGUUCGCUCAAUAAAUGUAUUCACCUGGGGGUGGCCA